GGCCGGAUAAGGCGUUCACGCCGCAUCCGGCAGUCGGCGCAUAAUGCCUGAUGCGACGCUUGUCGCGUCUUAUCAGGCC
rnacentral:ncRNA from 1 species